CGGCGGACGGCAGAGUAACACGUAGGAACAUACCCAAACUGAGGGAUAACUGCCCGAAAGGGUGGCUAAUACCGCAUGUGAUCUUCGGAUUAAAGCUUCGGCGGUUUGGGAAUGGCCUGCGUCUGAUUAGCUUGUUGGUGAGGUAAUGGCUCACCAAGGCGACGAUCAGUAGCUGGUCUGAGAGGAUGAUCAGCCUGACUGGAACUGAGAAAGGUCCGG
rnacentral:rRNA from 1 species